UACAGAGGGGCAAGCGUUAUUCGGAAUUAUUGGGCGUAAAGGGCGCGUAGGCGGCUUGGCAAGUGGAUGGUGAAAUCCCUCGGCUUAACCGAGGAACUGCCGUCCAAACUGCUUCGCUUGAGACCGGGAGAGGUGAGUGGAAUUCCCAGUGUAGCGGUGAAAUGCGUAGAUAUUGGGAGGAACACCAGUGGCGAAGGCGGCUCACUGGACCGGUACUGACGCUGAUGCGCGAAAGCGUGGGGAGCAACAGGG
rnacentral:rRNA from 1 species